GAUGAACGCUAGCUACAGGCUUAACACAUGCAAGUCGAGGGGAAACGAUAGAGAAAGCUUGCUUUUUCUAGGCGUCGACCGGCGCACGGGUGAGUAACGCGUAUCCAACCUGCCCAUCACUUGGGGAUAACCUUGCGAAAGUAAGACUAAUACCCAAUGACGUCUCUAGAAGACAUCUGAAAGAGAUUAAAGAUUUAUCGGUGAUGGAUGGGGAUGCGUCUGAUUAGCUUGUUGGCGGGGGUAACGGCCCACCAAGGCGACGAUCAGUAGGGGUUCUGAGAGGAAGGUCCCCCANAUUGGAACUGAGACACGGUCAAACUCCUACGGGAGGCAGCAGUGAGGAAUAUUGGUCAAUGGACGAGAGUCUGAACCAGCCAAGUAGCGUGCAGGAUGACGGCCCUAUGGGUUGUAAACUGCUUUUAUAAGGGAAUAAAGUGAGUCUCGUGAGACUUUUUGCAUGUACCUUAUGAAUAAGGACCGGCUAAUUCCGUGCCAGCAGCCGCGG
rnacentral:rRNA from 1 species